rfam:Dipodomys ordii contig_9453, whole genome shotgun sequence.
GGGAAGGUAGCUCAGUGGUAGAGCGCUUGCCUUGCAUGCAUAAGGCCCUGGGUUCGAUUCCUCAGCGCCA